rnacentral:tRNA from 1 species
GGGGUUGUGGCUCAGUGAUAGAGCACUCACCUAGCAUGUGUGAGGCCCUGGGUUUAAUCCUCAGCACCA